UGAAACUUCGUUCCCUCUUGAGUGGAUCCUGAGUACGGCGGAACACGUGAAAUUCCGUCGGAAGCUGGGAGGACCAUCUCCCAAGGCUAAAUACUCCCUAGUGACCGAUAGUGAACCAGUACCGUGAGGGAAAGGUGAAAAGCACCCCGGAAGGGGAGUGAAAGAGAACCUGAAACCGUGUGCCUACAAGUAGUCAGAGCCCGUUAAUGGGUGAUGGCGUGCCUUUUGUAGAAUGAACCGGCGAGUUAUGAUCCCAUGCAAGGUUAAGUUGAAGAGACGGAGCCGUAGCGAAAGCGAGUCUGAAUAGGGCGUUUAGUAUGUGGUUGUAGACCCGAAACCAGGUGAUCUACCCAUGUCCAGGGUGAAGUUCAGGUAACACUGAAUGGAGGCCCGAACCCACGCACGUUGAAAAGUGCGGGGAUGAGGUGUGGGUAGCGGAGAAAUUCCAAUCGAACCUGGAGAUAGCUGGUUCUCUCCGAAAUAGCUUUAGGG
rnacentral:rRNA from 2 species